rnacentral:misc_RNA from 1 species
GAUGAAGAAACGUAGCGAAAUGCGAUACUUGGUGUGAAUUGCAGAAUCCCGUGAACCAUCGAGUCUUUGAACGCAAGUUGCGCCCGAAGCCAUUAGGCCGAGGGCACGCCUGCCUGGGCGUCACACGUCGUUGCCCCCCAUCUACUCCUUCGGGAUUGCGGGGGGCGGAUGAUGGCCUCCCGUGCGCCUCGUCGCGCGGUUGGCAUAAAUGCCAAGUCCUCGGCGACGCACGCCACGACAAUCGGUGGUUGCGAAACCUCGGUUGCCCGUCGUGUGCGGUCGUCGCGCAUCGAGGGCUCGAAAAAAUUGCCGGGCUCCGGCUCGGCUUUCAACGCGACCCCAGGUCAGGCGGGGUUACCCGCUGAAUUUAAGCAUAUCAAUAAGCGGAGGA